rnacentral:tRNA from 1 species
GCCGGGAUGGUGGAAUUGGUAGACACGUCAGCCUUAGGAGCUGGUGGGGAAACCCGUGGAGGUUCGAGUCCUCUUCCCGGUACCA